rnacentral:rRNA from 1 species
AACGAACGCUGGCGGCGUGGAUAAGACAUGCAAGUCGAACGGGAUUUUUUUCUGUAGCAAUACAGAGAAAAGUCUAGUGGCGAACGGGUGCGUAACACGUGAGCAACCUGCCGUGAAGUGGGGGAUAGCUCGCCGAAGGGCGAAUUAAUACCGCAUGUGGCCAAGGAAGACAUCUUCCUGACGCCAAAGCCGGGGCAACCUGGCGCUUCUCGAGGGGCUCGCGGCCUAUCAGCUUGUUGGUGAGGUAACGGCUCACCAAGGCUAUGACGGGUAGCUGGUCUGAGAGGACGUCCAGCCACACUGGAACUGAGACACGGUCCAGACACCUACGGGUGGCAGCAGUCGAGAAUUUUUCACAAUGGGGGAAACCCUGAUGGAGCGACGCCGCGUGGAGGAUGAAGGUUUUCGGAUUGUAAACUCCUGUCAUUAGAGAACAAGGCACACGGUUUAACUGGCCGUGUGUUGAUAGUAUCUGAAGAGGAAGAGACGGCUAACUCUGUGCCAGCCGCCGCAGUAA